rnacentral:rRNA from 1 species
GCUGAACGCUGGGGCAUGCCUUACACAUGCAAGUCGAACGGCAGCACGGGAGCAAUCCUGGUGGCGAGUGGCGAACGAGUGAGUAAUAUAUCGGAACGUGCCCAGUAGUGGGGGAUAACUGCUCGAAAGAGCAGCUAAUACCGCAUACGACCUGAGGGUGAAAGGGGGGGAUCGCAAGACCUCUCGCUAUUGGAGCGGCCGAUAUCAGAUUAGCUAGUUGGUGGGGUAAAGGCCUACCAAGGCAACGAUCUGUAGUUGGUCUGAGAGGACGACCAGCCACACUGGGACUGAGACACGGCCCAGACUCCUACGGGAGGCAGCAGUGGGGAAUUUUGGACAAUGGGCGCAAGCCUGAUCCAGCAAUGCCGCGUGCAGGAAGAAGGCCUUCGGGUUGUAAACUGCUUUUGUCAGGGAAGAAAUCCUCUAGGUUAAUACCCUUGGGGGGAUGACGGUACCUAAAGAAUAAGCACCGGCUAACUACGUGCCAGCCGCCGCGGUAAAAC